GCCCGCGAAAUUCUUUCCUCGUAGACGCAUGAGACGCUCCGUGAAGUUUUAGGUGUUUGGAAGUGCAUCUAGUGUUUGGUCUUUAGCCGACUGUACCCCCGCAAAGCAAAGCCAGCCGUGUGGACAGUGAAGAAGCAGAUAUUGCACGCUGAAAACAUCACCUCAUCACAGAUGCAUCGUGCACUGACACUAUCUUGUGGUCUCCAGAGACGAGUGCAACCUGCGCUAUGGGAAACCGGUACACAUCUUUGUGGAAACUGGCCCUGAGACAUUUCUGAAGAUCAGGAGUAGAGAUCAGAAAACAAAAAGCUUUGUGUCAGUAACAUGUCUUGAGGAGCUAAUCAGAGUUGCUGUGGGUCAUGGAAUUUGUCAGGAGGGCAACAUACAGGUGUAUUUAAUGGAUGAGUUAUCACUUCGCUCUAUGGUUGCUGGUGCUGAGAAAUGCCUCGAUGACAUUUUCAUUGUUAAAAAUGGACUAUGGAAACAAGAUCAGUCAACAUGUGUGAGUGCACCUUCACCAAUCCCACAAAUGCCUCUGCUCUCACGAAUUUAUGACCCUUGGGGGAGCCUCAGCAAGACAGUACUUGAUGCGUUGGAAGCAGACAAUGUUCUGCUUCCCUCUCAACGACAGGAAGUGGCACACAUGGCAGCGUCAUGUCCCUGCAUAUCCAUUGAAGGUGGGAGGCACUCCUGAUAUUUAUUCACAGGCACCUGGUUGGUAUCAUUGAGAACGAAGGGAGCCAGCAGGCAUAAAAAAAUCAAGAGGGCUACAUACAUAAAUGCGUGAGGCAAUGAGGGUCGCAGAUGAAUAUAGCAAGAAGUGGGAACAUCUCAUGUGAUACAUGGCGGUCAAAUGUUCCACCACCAAAGUCAUGUACAAGUUAUUUGUAGUCUUUUCAGUAAUUUCCAAAAUAAAGGGUUAUUAU